CGUUUCGGUAAGAUACCUUCAUCAGGCCUGACUCGUUUGUAGAGAGUUAGCAGGUUAGCACGGCAGGUAGGCUAAAAUCAACCUUUUAUCCUUGCAGUGAAAACAGGUAUUGCAGGAGAAAGGUGUUAAUAGCAAUAAAACAUUUAAAUGAAGGGGUGGGGUCCACGUGAAACACAAGUUGGCCUUCAAAAUAGAAGUCUUGACCCCAACACAAGUGUAAAAAGAAGACAACAGUGACCCUCUGAAGCCCCAGGAUGCUACUGCAAAAUCCUAUCUGCUAAAACAAUAACAUGAAAUGGUAAACAUUGUUAUUGGUAUAUGAUAUAUAAUAUAAUAAUCUGUAAUAUGAUAUGAAUUAUAUAAUAUAUUAUAAUAAAUAUAUAUAUAUAAUAAUAAUUGACAAACACUAGUACAUUCAAUGGAAAUAAUACAGAAAGUACCCUGGAUGUGUGACCUAGGGCUUCAGUAUUAAACAGAGAGUUGGGAGAGGAUAUUCCCAGUCACCUCCCCUUAGUGAAUGUUCUGAAUGUACGUAUAUGUACCGUACCCGAGGUUAGGGUUAGGGUUAGGGUUAGGGUUAGGUUUUAGGAUUAGGGUUAUGGUUAGGUGUUAGGCAUAUAUUCCCUAUUACCUCCCCUAAUUGUGAUUUUUUGCAGGUCCAGGAGGGCGAGCGAGGGAGAGUGAGAGCCGUAAGAGGAUUGGAGGCACUGGCUGGUUAGGUUUGGGGGUAGGUUUUAGGCCCCCUGGAUGUCUGGUGCCCAAUUUGGAGAUCCAAAGGAGCUCCGCCCGGUGGCGUUGGGCGAGGCUCCAUUUGGGAUCCGUCUCUACGACAGUCGCCCGGACGGAAGACCACCCGUGUCGGAGAAAAUGCUGCACCAGGCUGGAGAGGGGGC